rnacentral:rRNA from 1 species
UAGGGAAUCUUCCGCAAUGGGCGAAAGCUUGACGCAGCAACGCCGCGUGAGUGAUGAAGGUCUUCGGAUCGUAAAACUCUGUUAGUAGGGAAGAACAAAUGUGUAAGUAACUAUGCACGUCUUGACGGUACCUAAUCAGAAAGCCACGGCUAACUACGUGCCAGCAGCCGCGGUAAUACGUAGGUGGCAAGCGUUAUCCGGAAUUAUUGGGCGUAAAGCGCGCGUAGGCGGUUUUUUAAGUCUGAUGUGAAAGCCCACGGCUCAACCGUGGAGGGUCAUUGGAAACUGGAAAACUUGAGUGCAGAAGAGGAAGGUGGAAUUCCAUGUGUAGCGGUGAAAUGCGCAGAGAUAUGGAGGAACACCAGUGGCGAAGGCGACUUUCUGGUCUGUAACUGACGCUGAUGUGCGAAAGCGUGGGGAUCAAACAGG